GACAUGAUAGACUAGUGUUAUUCAUCUUUAAUGGGUUUAAAGGGUACCUAGACGGAAGUUCUAGCCUGCAGAAGGGACGGAAUUUCUAGAGUUUUAUGUGAGAAGGGGAGUAUUACUGGUGGAGAGAUGAAAUUCUGUGAUACCUUUAGGACUGGUAAAGGCGAAGGCAACCUUCUAAGUAAAAACUGACGUUGAGGGACGAAGGCUUAGGUAACGAACAGG
rnacentral:rRNA from 1 species